ACUCGCUGGGCUUUAGGGGAAAAAAUAGCACGGCAGCCUCUCCUUCCUGGGACGACACGGCACCGCCGCCAUGAAUCCCGCCGCCACGCGCGGCCGGUCUACCUCUCCAGCUACCCUCAAGCAGCGCCGCUGUUGCCCAGUUCUUCCCCUCCUCACCCGCCCCAACUCCUCACCCCUAGCCUCCUUCGCCUCAAGGCGGACGUCUCUGAUUUGGAUAUGAUUCCAUGGCGUGUUCACGCCGCCACGCGCAGUCGGUCUUCCUCUCCAGCUACCCUCCAGCAGUGUCAUCGUUGCCCUGUUCUUCCCCUCCUCCCCCGCCCCAACUCCUAACCCCCAGCCUCCUCCGCCUCAGAGACGGACGACUCCGAUUUGGAGCUCAAGUACUGCCUCCCCCGCACCUCCAUCCCCAUAUUUGGAUUGGGGUGCAACAGAGAUGAGGAAGGACAAAGCACGAACAGCUCAAGUGAGAGUGAACGGAUAUGAGCACACAACCCUCUCAGGUGACGUUGGCUGAUCAGGAUACCCAAUUCUCAAACAAACAACCUGAGAUGCUCUAGAUAUGGAAGUUCACCGCCAAGCUCGACCAACAAGUUUUUUGGUUCAUGUUCAAUGGGAGGUGAAGAGUGUUGAGCAGGUAUUGAUGCAGGUCCAAGGUAAACUCUAUUUUUCUUCUUUUAUUGUGUUUAUUAGAUGAACAUGUCAAAGGUGCAGAUGGACAUGAUGAAGCCGUGAAUUGUCACGCAGGUCAUUGAGCUUCUUGGGUUUGACACAGCUCACCCUCGUCUACGAAACGAAAAAUCUCGGCAUGCCUAAAUAAAAGGGGUCGUGGGUUGCGAAUCAAAAAAACCCGGUUAGUAUAAAUAAAGGAAAUUAUGGGCUCUGAAGCGAAAAAUUCUAGUUGACAUAAAUAAAGGGGAUUGUGGGCUACGAAACGAAUAUCUCAAUUGAGCAGGAUUGUUGUAUGCUAAAUGAAAAAUAAAAGCGACUGGUCUGUGAAACGAAAAAUAAGCAAAGGCCUCCCAGUUGGCAUAAAUAAACGGGCACUGGUUGAACAACUUCAGUAUUUUAUACUAAUGCUAUUUUCAUUUAAAGGCUGAAUUUUGUCACCCCGUUGCAACGCACGAGCAUAUGUCCUAGAAUAUAUUUGGAAGGCAGAGUUCGUGAAAACAAAUGUCAGUCCUUUUUUCUUCUGAAAAGCUCUCUUCAUUCUUUUUCACGUCUAUUCUUAUUGCUUGAGAAUUGUUGCGGUCCGUACCAUGUAUCCACCGUUUCCUAAGGAGAGUGUUCCUAUGCUAAAAACUGUUGUUUUGUCCUCAUAGAUUUUUGUUCUAUGGGAUUUGUGCGGUCUAAAUAGUACUGUAUUUAGUUUUAUGAAAGGAUGCAAAAGCAAUACUAGGGCUUCCAGUGUAUACUGAUUGCUAAAGGAUGCAAUAGUAUUUGUGUAGUGGGGAAGUGUCAUUCCCUCUGUUUACCAAUUGGCCUCCCCCUCUUAAGAGAUCUAACCCUUGUUACCAUAAGGAAAAAGCAAAGACUAUUAUGACACCAUAAAGUUUGAAUUCAGAGAAGUAUAUGCUGAAGAACACCAGAAUUAGUCUUCAUGAACCAUCAUCGCCUUGUUGAUGAUGCUUCACAUAUAAGUUUUCUGGUCCUUUACAAGGUCUUCUAAUUAUUCAGAAGCGAUGUCAAAUGGUACGUACCAUUUUUAAUUUUAAUUUUCUUGAAUUGUUAAGUUGAGAACGGAUGCUUGCAUUUCCAUUUGGGAAAAAGAGAGGAGAAAGUGAUGGAUUGGAGCUUUCACGGAACAUUAUUACUGUCUAGAAAAUUCAUGGCAAUAGGGCCAAUGGUUGAACAUAUAAAUCUUUUUGAAGUAAAUUCUUUUGUAACUCUCAGUCUCAGUACUACCUUGUCGAUUGAUACUUAGUGGACCAGAGGGAAAAAUCCAAAGCAAAGCCCUACACAUGCAGCCCCUGCCCAAAAGGAGCAACUGCAUUUUGUCUACAAUGCAUGUUUGACUGAAAUUCCUGUUUCUAUUUUUUGCAGAGCGCUCACAAAUUAAACAAUCUAUGAAAUCGCUAGAAGGGACUGGAUAUCCUACUUGGUAUGUGGUUUUAGAAGCAACUUAGGUUCCAGCUUGCUGUGAAUUUUAUGAUUUAUCACUGUUAUACUGUUAACUACUUAACUUGAUACUGAAACAUUGGAACCAUAGUAUUUGAAGUGGAAUUCUGAGCAGGCUUCAACAAUUCAGUAAAGGCCUAUGAAACAUCUAUGAUUUCACUAGAGAGUGGAUUUGCACUCGAGGAGCAACUCGAGCAGCUUUGCGCACAUGCCUAAACCUACUUUCAUAUGCUCAUUGAGCUUAUUUUCAUGUAAACGCACAUGUACAUUCUCGGCAAAAACAAAGAAAGUGUGGUGUGCUCGACCUUCUCCCAGUCCAACCUUGACCUGGAAGCAUGUCAAACAAAAACACCAAACUUUACACCAGCAUCAAGCCCCUAGAAAUAGUCUAUCACCUGUAUCUUUGCGUAUCACUGAGAUGGAGCCAGAAGACAGUUUUUUUUAUCAGUUUAGGUGUUAACUCCUUGUGACAGGUACAUGUGAGUAUCAUUGUUGUGUAGAGAGAAAAAUAUUCAGAUUAGAAAACAUUUAGCUUAAGGUGUAACUGGUAACCAA